rnacentral:rRNA from 1 species
UUUAUUGGGCGUAAAGCGAGCGCAGGCGGUUAGAUAGNUCUGAAGUUAAAGGCAGUGGCUCAACCAUUGUAGGCUUUGGAAACUGUUUAACUUGAGUGCAGAAGGGGAGAGUGGAAUUCCAUGUGUAGCGGUGAAAUGCGUAGAUAUAUGGAGGAACACCGGUGGCGAAAGCGGCUCUCUGGUCUGUAACUGACGCUGAGGCUCGAAAGCGUGGNGAGCGAACAGGAUUAGAUACCCUGGUAGUCCACGCCGUAAACGAUGAGUGCUAGGUGUUAGGUCCUUUCCGGGACUUAGUGCCGCAGCUAACGCAUUAAGCACUCCGCCUGGGGAGUACGACCGCAAGGUUGAAACUCAAAGGAAUUGACGGGGGCCCGCACAAGCGGUGGAGCAUGUGGUUUAAUUCGAAGCAACGCGAAGAACCUUACCAGGUCUUGACAUCCCGAUGCCCGCUCUAGAGAUAGAGCUUUACUUCGGUACAUCGGUGACAGGUGGUGCAUGGUUGUCGUCAGCUCGUGUCGUGAGAUGUUGGGUUAANNCCCGCAACGAGCGCAACCCUUAUUGUUAGUUGCCAUCAUUCAGUUGGGCACUCUAGCGAGACUGCCGGUAAUAAACCGGAGGAAGGUGGGGAUGACGUCAAAUCAUCAUGCCCCUUAUGACCUGGGCUACACACGUGCUACAAUGGCUGGUACAACGAGUCGCAAGCCGGUGACGGCAAGCUAAUCUCUGAAAGCCAGUCUCAGUUCGGAUUGUAGGCUGCAACUCGCCUACAUGAAGUCGGAAUCGCUAGUAAUCGCGGAUCAGCACGCCGCGGUGAAUACGUUCCCGGGCCU